rnacentral:rRNA from 1 species
AUUGAACGCUGGCGGCAUGCCUUACACAUGCAAGUCGAACGGCAGCAUGGAGAGCUUGCACCUGGUGGCGAGUGGCGAACGGGUGAGUAAUGUAUCGGAACGUACCUUUCAGUGGGGGAUAACUAUCCGAAAGGAUAGCUAAUACCGCAUAUUCUGUGAGCAGGAAAGCAGGGGAUCGCAAGACCUUGCGCUGAUUGAGCGGCCGAUAUCAGAUUAGCUAGUUGGUGGGGUAAAGGCCUACCAAGGCUACGAUCUGUAGCGGGUCUGAGAGGAUGAUCCGCCACACUGGAACUGAGACACGGUCCAGACUCCUACGGGAGGCAGCAGUGGGGAAUUUUGGACAAUGGGGGCAACCCUGAUCCAGCCAUGCCGCGUGAGUGAAGAAGGCCUUCGGGUUGUAAAGCUCUUUCGGACGGGAAGAAAUCGCAUCGGCUAAUACCUGGUGCGGAUGACGGUACCGUAAUAAGAAGCACCGGCUAACUACGUGCCAGCAGCCGCAGUAA